UACGUAGGGUGCGAGCGUUGUCCGGAAUUAUUGGGCGUAAAGAGCUUGUAGGCGGUUUGUCGCGUCUGCCGUGAAAGCCCAGGGCUUAACCCUGGGUCUGCGGUGGGUACGGGCAGACUAGAGUGUGGUAGGGGAGACUGGAAUUCCUGGUGUAGCGGUGAAAUGCGCAGAUAUCGAGAGGAACACCGGUGGCGAAGGCGGCCUUCUGGACAGUGACUGACGCUGAGACGCGAAAGCGUGGGGAGCAAACAGG
rnacentral:rRNA from 1 species